UACAGAGGGGGCAAGCGUUGUUCGGAAUUACUGGGCGUAAAGGGCGCGUAGGCGGCCUUCUAAGUCGAACGUGAAAUCCCUGGGCUCAACCCAGGAACUGCGUCCGAUACUGGAAGGCUUGAAUCCGGGAGAGGGAUGCGGAAUUCCAGGUGUAGCGGUGAAAUGCGUAGAUAUCUGGAGGAACAUCGGUGGCGAAGGCGGCAUCCUGGACCGAUAUUGACGCUGAGGCGCGAAAGCCAGGGGAGCAAACGGG
rnacentral:rRNA from 1 species